UACAGAGGUCUCAAGCGUUGUUCGGAUUCAUUGGGCGUAAAGGGUGCGUAGGCGGCGCGGUAAGUCGGGUGUGAAUCUCGGGGCUUAAACUCCGAAACUGCAUUCGAUACUGCCGUGCUUGAGGACUGGAGAGGAGACUGGAAUUUACGGUGUAGCGGUGAAAUGCGUAGAUAUCGUAAGGAAGACCAGUGGCGAAGGCGG
rnacentral:rRNA from 1 species